GCCUCCUACACGUGGCGCGUGCCUGCCAUUGUGACGAGUCACAGGAAGCAGAAGCGUGGCCUGCCGUGACCACCGGGCCAUCGAGCAGGAAGUCCCGCCCCUUCCGGUGGUCCCAGAGCGCUGAGUUGCCCCGUGCUAUACGGCACGUUCUCAUCAACCAUCUGUUUUAUGCACGGGUCAAGUUAUUGAGCAUGCCUAAUGGAAAUUUGGUUUCAAGAAAGUCAUAUAGCAAAAACCACUGAAAAAAUAAGGAAAGCACAGACUUUCUGGGUUGUGUGAAGUUGGUCAACUUCCUUAACAUUGCUUUUUUCUCUUCUGUGUGAAAGAGAAUGGAUAAACGCGAGCUAAUCUUCAGAAAUUCUCCAGAUGCGAAUGCGGGGUCGUUCUCAGAUGAGAGAGAUCUUUGUAGAAAACUGUUAAUGCACAGAAAUGGGGGGAAGUGAAUUCAGCCAGAAGUGAUGGCAAGAGAGCGAUCAGAGAGCUUGAUGCAGACGGAUGCUAUCGGAGGAGCUAGACGAAGACCAGGCUGAUUGAAGGAUCCAGGAAGUGAGGAGGAAAUAGCCUCGGGUGCUAAUUUGGGUUUAAUCAGUGGGGAAAUGACCUCCUCUCCCCAGGCCCAGAGGAUGCAAUUAAAGGCUUUGUGACCAACUAAA